ACUCAAAGGAAUAGACGGGGGCCCGCACAAGCGGUGGAUUAUGUGGAUUAAUUCGAUGCAACGCGAAAAACCUUACCUGGCCUUGACAUGUACCGAAUUUGGGAGAGAUUCCUUAGUGCUCGAAAGAGAGCGGUAACACAGGUGCUGCAUGGCUGUCGUCAGCUCGUGUCGUGAGAUGUUGGGUUAAGUCCCGCAACGAGCGCAACCCUUGCCAAUAAUUGCCAUCAUUUAGUUGGGCACUUUAUUGGGACUGCCGGUGACAAACCGGAGGAAGGUGGGGAUGACGUCAAGUCCUCAUGGCCCUUAUGGCCAGGGCUUCACACGUAAUACAAUGGUCGGUACAGAGGGUUGCCAACCCGCGAGGGGGAGCUAAUCUCAGAAAGCCGAUCGUAGUCCGGAUUGAAGUCUGCAACUCGACUUCAUGAAGUCGGAAUCGCUAGUAAUCGCGGAUCAGCAUGUCGCGGUGAAUACGUUCCCGGGCCUUGUACACACCGCCCGU
rnacentral:rRNA from 1 species